rnacentral:rRNA from 1 species
CCUACGGGUGGCAGCAGUGGGGAAUAUUGCUCAAUGGAGGAAAGUCUGAUGCAGCGACGUCGCGUGAGUGAAGACGUCUUUCGGUACGUAAAGCUCCAUUAGUAGGGAAGUAAAUGACUCUACCUGACUAAUAAGCCCCGUCUAACUACGUGACAGCAGCCCCGAUAAUACGUAGGGGGCAAGCGUUAUCCGGAUUUACCGGGUGUAAAGGGAGCGUAGAGGGAUGCGCAAGUCUGGAGUGAAAUCCCACGGCUUAACCAUGGAAGUGCUGUUGAAACUGUGCAGCUGGAGUUCAGGAGAGGUAGGCGGAAUUCGUAGUGUAGCGGUGAAAUGCGUAGAUAUUAGGAGGAACACCAGUGGCGAAGGCGGCUCACUGGACUGUAACUGACGUUGAGGCUCGAAAGCGUGGGGAGCAAACAGGAUUAGAUACCCUAGUAGUC